rnacentral:rRNA from 1 species
UACGGAGGGGGCAAGCGUUGUUCGGAAUUACUGGGCGUAAAGGGCUUGUAGGUGGCCAACUAAGUCAGACGUGAAAUCCCUCGGCUUAACCGGGGAACUGCGUCUGAUACUGGAUGGCUGGAGUGUGGGAGAGGGAUGCGGAAUUCCAGGUGUAGCGGUGAAAUGCGUAGAUAUCUGGAGGAACACCGGUGGCGAAGGCGGCAUCCUGGACCAUUACUGACACUGAAAAGCGAAAGCCAGGGGAGCAAACGGG